rnacentral:tRNA from 1 species
GGGCGUUUAGCGCAGUCGGUAGCGCGUGGGUCUCAUAAUCCCAAGGUCGCGAGUNGUGUGUAGGCCUGCGCCUU